rnacentral:rRNA from 1 species
AAGGAAACGUAAUCGGACAUUCAGAGUACCUUUUGGGAAAAGGAUUUUUACUGGCGGUCUUCUACCUGCCUAGAGGCCUAUGCCUCUAAACGAAUCUGCGCGCUAGAUUUCUCCUUUAAAAGAUAUAUUUCACUUUACCCACCACUGUCUGAAGAGGUAAAAUUACCUCCUCCUCUCUUGAAGAGAUAAGGCAAGUAAAAGUGUAGGGAAUGGAAAGGAAAACGUGUAGGCCAAUUUAAUUAAUUUAAAGAGAAAUGAAAUUUCUUUCUCAGAGAGAAUUUAGAAGUAAGUCUAAGUUUACCAUACUUGUCUGAAUUAAGCUCUAGAAGAUGU